UACGAAGGGUCCUAGCGUUGUUCGGAAUCACUGGGCGUAAAGCGCAUGUAGGUGGCUUAAUAAGUCAGGUGUGAAAGCCUCGGCUCAACCUGAGAAGUGCAUUUGAUACUGUUAAGCUUGAGUAUUGGAGAGGUAGUAGAAUUCCUGGUGUAGUGGUGAAAUGCGCAGAUAUCAGGAGGAACACCGGUGGCGAAGGCGGGUCUCUGGGCCGAUACUGACGCUGGAGGAGCGAAAGCCGUGGGGAGCGAACAGG
rnacentral:rRNA from 1 species